rnacentral:rRNA from 1 species
GAUGAACGCUGGCGGCGUGCCUAAUACAUGCAAGUCGAGCGAACAGACGAGGAGCUUGCUCCUCUGACGUUAGCGGCGGACGGGUGAGUAACACGUGGAUAACCUACCUAUAAGACUGGAAUAAUUUCGGGAAACCGGAGCUAAUACCGGAUAAUAUAUUGAACCGCAUGGUUCAAUAGUGAAAGACGGUUUUGCUGUCACUUAUAGAUGGAUCCGCGCCGCAUUAGCUAGUUGGUAAGGUAACGGCUUACCAAGGCAACGAUGCGUAGCCGACCUGAGAGGGUGAUCGGCCACACUGGAACUGGGACACGGUCCAGACUCCUACGGGAGGCAGCAGUAGGGAAUCUUCCGCAAUGGGCGAAAGCCUGACGGAGCAACGCCGCGUGAGUGAUGAAGGUCUUCGGAUCGUAAAACUCUGUUAUUAGGGAAGAACAAAUGUGUAAGUAACUAUCCACGUCUUGACGGUACCUAAUCAGAAAGCCACGGCUAACUACGUG